GAUGAACGCUGGCGGCGUGCCUAAUACAUGCAAGUCGAGCGAACAGACGAGGAGCUUGCUCCUCUGACGUUAGCGGCGGACGGGUGAGUAACACGUGGAUAACCUACCUAUAAGACUGGGAUAACUUCGGGAAACCGGAGCUAAUACCGGAUAAUAUAUUGAACCGCAUGGUUCAAUAGUGAAAGACGGUUUUGCUGUCACUUAUAGAUGGAUCCGCGCCGCAUUAGCUAGUUGGUAAGGUAACGGCUUACCAAGGCAACGAUGCGUAGCCGACCUGAGAGGGUGAUCGGCCACACUGGAACUGAGACACGGUCCAGACUCCUACGGGAGGCAGCAGUAGGGAAUCUUCCGCAAUGGGCGAAAGCCUGACGGAGCAACGCCGCGUGAGUGAUGAAGGUCUUCGGAUCGUAAAACUCUGUUAUUAGGGAAGAACAAAUGUGUAAGUAACUAUGCACGUCUUGACGGUACCUAAUCAGAAACCCACGGCUAACUACGUG
rnacentral:rRNA from 1 species